rnacentral:rRNA from 1 species
UACGUAGGGUGCAAGCGUUGUCCGGAAUUAUUGGGCGUAAAGAGCUCGUAGGCGGUUCGUCACGUCGGCUGUGAAAUCCCGAGGCUCAACCUCGGGUCUGCAGUCGAUACGGGCGGACUUGAGUACUGCAGGGGAGACUGGAAUUCCUGGUGUAGCGGUGAAAUGCGCAGAUAUUAGGAAGAACACCGGUGGCGAAGGCGGCCCACUGGUCCGGUACUGACGCUGGAGGUGCGAAAGCGUGGGGAGCAAACAGG